AACGCAGCGAAGGGCGAUAAGUAAUGUGAAUUGCAGAUUUUCAGUGAAUCAUCGAAUCUUUGAACGCACCUUGCGCCCCUUGGUAUUCCGAGGGGCAUGCCUGUUUGAGUGUCAUUAAAUUCUCAACUCCGAUUUGAUUUGUUUCUUAUCGGAGCUUGGACUUUGGAGCGUGCUGGCGUAAGGUCGGCUCCUCUUAAAUGUAUCAGCGGAAUCUAACCUUUGGAUUCUGGACAUCGGUGUGAUAAUAAAAGUUGCGCCGUCGUUCUACUUCAAAGUCCGCUUACAAUGGUCUUUUUGACAAACUCUUAUCAAAUUUGACCUCAAAUCAGGUAGGACUACCCGCUGAACUUAA
rnacentral:rRNA from 1 species